rnacentral:rRNA from 1 species
CUUUUCUCUGGGAAGAAAGUUGUGAAAGCAACCUGACGGUACCAGAGGAAUCAGCAUCGGCUAACUCCGUGCCAGCAGCCGCGGUAAGACGGAGGAUGCAAGCGUUAUCCGGAAUGAUUGGGCGUAAAGCGUCCGCAGGUGGCAGUUCAAGUCUGCUGUCAAAGACCGGGGCUUAACUUCGGAAAGGCAGUGGAAACUGAACAGCUAGAGUAUGGUAGGGGCAGAGGGAA